UCAUAAAAAUCGGACAAUCUGUAUGAACUAUUUUAUAUUUCAAUUUAUUUUACUCAAAUUUAAGAUUACAUCUUGUCAACUUUUUAAUAAUCAGUGAGAAUUCAUAUUCACCAUUUUAAUAACCAUCCAGUGGGCUGUAAAAAAUGAAAAUGAAGUUAAAGCUAUUAAAGAGUUAAAAAGUCCAUAAAAAACAAUGCAUCCAUAUAUAUAUAUAUAUAUAUUCACUAAUACAUUUCCCCAAGAUUAUUCCUUUACUCAGGUAGUCCCAAUAUCGCUGUUUUCAAUGAAACAAAAAACUAUUAUAUAAUAUUCUUUUUCACAGCAAAAUAAUUAAGGGGUUUAAACAUUUAGAUAUUUAAACAAAAAGUAUUCAAUCACUUUUAUAACACUAUAAAAACAGGAGAAUACUUUAUACUAUAUUGGCAAGGAAGUAAAAAUGUAAUUAUUUCAAAGAAGUAGUGAGCAUUAUAAAACUACUAAUUUUCUUUGGGCGAAUAACAGGUUUUGUAAUUUAUAAUUUCAAGAGACAAAUUGAAUAUAUGUGUAAUUUGAGAUAGAUAGGUUCUUUUAUUUUAACAUAACCGAUAUCUAGUUAAAGAUGCAAACUCUUAAGAGUUUAGUUAAACAUCAAUAUUAACUUAGCUAAUAUCUGUUUCUGUCAUUGUUCUACUUCCUGCUGAUAACAGCUUAACCCGUAUCAGUAAAGUGGCUCACCAGUAUUGCUUAUCGUAUUAAAAAAUAGAACAAUAAAUAAUGUAACUCCCUAAAGGAAUAAUUCAUGUAUGCUCUGUAAAAAUUCACAUUUUAUUUUAGCUUUAUUUUUAACAAAGAGUGGUUAUGAAAUUUCAUUAACUUCUUACUUUAAAUACCUGUAAUUCCUCAUGGAGUUACAUUUUUCUUUCUGUCUCCAGGGCUUAAAGAGCUAUGACUUUAAAAUGGUAAACAAAGAAUUGAUUGCACCUCCUUAAAGAGGUUUCUUCCUGACUAUGAUUGUUUUAAAAGUUGUUUUUAUGAAGGUUAAAUUAAAUCUUAACCCAAUCAUUAAGUUUUUAGUGUCAUUCUUUUACUUGUUAGUCAAGUGAUAAAAACGUAACGUAACUGUUACAGCUGCUGUUCCCCCUCCAUUUCUCGGGUAAGUUGAACACUGUAGAUGUGGAAGCCUCUGUAUAUGGAGGAGGGGUGACAGGACAGUCCGGAGCCAUACGCUUUGGAAUUUCGAUGGCCCUACGCAGCUUUGUUCCUCCGACCAUGGUCGAGCAGAUGAGAAUAGCGGGAUUGUUGACGCAAGAUAGAAGACGGAGAGAGAGAAAGAAGCCAGGUCAAGAAAAAGCUAGAAGAAAGUUUACUUGGAAGAAACGUUAAGAACUAAUAUUAGUGUGUAACUAAAGAAAGCUAUCUUCAUACUCUCA